rfam:Clostridiales bacterium 59_14 Ley3_66761_scaffold_723, whole genome shotgun sequence.
GGGCCUGUAGCUCAGUUGGGAGAGCGUUCGGUUCGCAUCCGAGAGGUCAAGGGUUCGAAUCCCUCCAGGUCCA